rnacentral:misc_RNA from 1 species
GAAAUGCGAUAAGUAGUGUGAAUUGCAGAAUUCAGUGAAUCAUCGAAUCUUUGAAUGCACAUUGCGCCCUUUGGUAUUCCAAAGGGCAUGCCUGUUCGAGCGUCAUUUGUACCCUCAAGCUUUGCUUGGUGUUGGGCGUCUUGUCUCUAGCUUUGCUGGAGACUCGCCUUAAAGUAAUUGGCAGCCGGCCUACUGGUUUCGGAGCGCAGCACAAGUCGCACUCUCUAUCAGCAAAGGUCUAGCAUCCAUUAAGCCUUUUUUCAACUUUUGACCUCGGAUCAGGUAGGGAUACCCGCUGAACUUAAGC